rnacentral:tmRNA from 1 species
UCCCACCGUCUCCACCA